rnacentral:rRNA from 1 species
UUGUCCUGUGACUGCGUACCUUUUGUAUAAUGGGUCAGCGACUUAUAUUCAGUGGCAAGGUUAACCAUCUAGGGGAGCCGUAGGGAAACCGAGUCUUAACUGGGCGUUCAGUCUCUGGAUAUAGACCCGAAACCAGGUGAUCUAGCCAUGGGCAGGUUGAAGGUUGAGUAACAUCAACUGGAGGACCGAACCGACUAAUGUUGAAAAAUUAGCGGAUGACUUGUGGCUAGGGGUGAAAGGCCAAUCAAACCUGGAGAUAGCUGGUUCUCCCCGAAAGCUAUUUAGGUAGCGCCUCGGACGAAUACUACUGGGGGUAGAGCACUGUUAAGGCUAGGGGGUCAUCCCGACUUACCAACCCUUUGCAAACUCCGAAUACCAGUAAGUACUAUCCGGGAGACACACGGCGGGUGCUAACGUCCGUCGUGGAGAGGGAAACAACCCAGACCGCCAGCUAAGGUCCCAAAUUACUACUAAGUGGGAAACGAUGUGGGAAGGCUCAGACAGCCAGGAUGUUGGCUUAGAAGCAGCCAUCAUUUAAAGAAAGCGUAAUAGCUCACUGGUCGAGUCGGCCUGCGCGGAAGAUGUAACGGGGCUAAGUAGUAAACCGAAGCUGCGGCAAUGUGCUUUUGCACAUUGGGUAGGGGAGCGUUCUGUAAGCGGUUGAAGGUGUGUGGUAACGCAUGCUGGACGUAUCAGAAGUGCGAAUGCUGACAUGAGUAACGAUAAAGGGGGUGAAAAACCUCCUCGCCGGAAGACCAAGGGUUCCUGUCCAACGUUAAUCGGGGCAGGGUAAGUCGACCCCUAAGGCGAGGCCGAAAGGCGUAGUCGAUGGGAAACGGGUUAAUAUUCCCGUACUUCUUACAAUUGCGAUGGGGGGACGGAGAAGGCUAGGUGGGCCUGGCGACGGUUGUCCAGGUUCAAGUGCGUAGGCUUGAGAGUUAGGUAAAUCCGGCUCUCUCUAAGGCUGAGACACGACGUCGAGCACCUACGGGUGUGAAGUCAUUGAUG